UGCAGAGACAAGGCACUUACUUGGCUGU
rnacentral:piRNA from 1 species